UCCUCCGGAAAAGAUUUGGACAUCGUUCUAUCCGUAUCUCUUGAAGACGGUGGAGAUUAUGCAAACCACCAGGUAAUAAUUUAAGAUUCCCAUCCCGUGACAAGAAAUCAAGAUUCAAGCAAUAACUGACCUCAAGGUGCUCCAGCGUGGCAGGUAACUCGAUUUCUGAAGAAGAGGGUGUGAGGGAGGUGCACCCGGUGCUGCGACUGGGGAUGUCCUGUUCCCCCGUCAAAGUCCUUAAAUUAUGACAGUUGUUAAUAAUCAGCCGCUUCAGGCUCGGAGCAAGCUGGGAUGUACUGCCAUUUAAAUAUAUGUCAAAGAAUUACGGUUAUAAAUGUUCAGACUUUCAAGAGAUGUACUACUAUUUUGCAUCCAUGCCUCAGGUAAGGAUUUCAAAGCAUUGCGUCCUUUGAUAUCAGUUGUUCUCAACCGGGAAGGCAGAGCAGCCUCGGGAAAUGAAAUGAGUGAAGUGCAGUGAGGUAUCCGCAUCUCUGUAAGGGAACUAAGGGUGAGCAAUGCUUGUGGUAGCCUUAAAAUUGAAGCCUGCGCUGCAACUCUGGCCGUCGUUGAUCGUAUUCUUCCUCUGUUACCAAGGAAAGAAGCUGGGGACAUCUUAAAAUCUGCAACCGAUUAAGGGAUCUGACGUCUUGUACCAACCGAGCCUCACUCCACCAUAAAUACGUUAGCUCUCGGACAUUUACAAUCAUCAAUUUUUCCAACUUAGGUAGCCCUUGUUCAAAUAGAACCAACUGAUUUGAUCUGGGGACGAUUGGGCUGCCGAACACCACACCUUUACAUCCAUUGAUUUGUAAUCCACUGAGAGCUGGAAGAUAUUUAAUUUUCACUCGCAACUGUCGACAACAUUGAAUGUCGAGCACCUCCAAUAAAGGAAUACAUUCGGGCAAUGUCCUUCCACUGUUUGCUUGAUGUAUGAAUAAUUCAGCUGGCGACGACCAAAACACCACCACGCCAAUCCACGCGUAUCUGCCACUAAAGUCGAGUGAGAGUAAUUGGCUGGGUUGAUUAUUAUACAAAAAAAUAUUAAAAUUAUUUGAUAACUAAUUAUUAAUCAA
rnacentral:lncRNA from 1 species